CAAAUAUGGAGCAGUUGGCUGCCGCCGCCACAGCUCAAGGAUCCGACUUCAUGGGGGGGGGGGGGGGGGGGCACCCUCUGGCAGGCGGCCCAGCGAGCCGCACAGAGCACGGCGAGCGCACGGCGCGGCUGCCGGCCCGCGCCCUUAACCCUUGUGUGCACCCGGCCGGAGCAGCGGUCCCUCCAGCGGAGGCCCGGUGCCUCUUCCUAACUGUGGCUCCGGAUCCCGGACGUCGGCCUGAGGGGACUGUGCCUUCCAGGUCUAGAAAUGUGCAGCAGGAAUGGAACGUCUCGGGUCUAGCCCUAGUAGCCGACCUCUCACUCCUCUCUCAGCUGACUGGGGAUCAUUCAUUUCAUCGGAAGUGAGGCGCCUGAAAUAGCUGUCACGGACCUGCGAAAGAGUGAGUGUCGCAGCCAUCAGAGAUUCGGGAAGCCACGAGAGCUGACAAGCAAGAAGGGUUAAUAGAACAGGUGAGUUUGCUCCCAGUCAGUUCCUCUUCAAGAUGCUUGCUGUCAGUCUCAGUGCAGAACAUCCUCUCAUAUGUCGGGUCUCAGGGGUGAUGUUUCAAAACAUGCUAUCUCAAACCAUUCUCCGGGCCCUGCUUACAAUGAUUUCAUGCUGACACUAUUCAUUUAAUGACUCCAAAAGUUAUAAGGAGCAAGGAGCAUUGAUUGACAGGUCCUAAGUACUCAAGGAGCUGUCACCAAUACCCGUAGUCCAGACUUCUUCAUCUGAUCUUCUUCUAACUCUUAAUGGGAUAGCAUGUUCCCAUGUGACACGGUAGAAAUUUCAGUUCUGGAGCAAGGAGCACUUUGAUCGUGGAUUUCCCGGCAAAGAACCUGAAAAGGUAGCACUCCAACUUCCUGUCUGUGGACUCUGGUUCUAAGAGAUGAUGGGAGACCACGACCAGGAGGGAGUCAUCUCCUUACGUCAUCUCCCGUGGUGCAGCAGUGGAAAGGAGAUGUAGUGAGGCGCUCCACUGCAGGAAGAACAAUGAAGCAGGUUUACGAUCUAAUCCCAGACUAAGGGGCAGAGCACAACGCUGUCCCGUUAAGACUGUAUCCCUAGGAGACCCAGUUUUGUUUUGUUUUGUUUUGUUUUAUAGGCAUAAAUCUGGGCCAAAGAGAUGCAGGAAAUUGGGAAAGACCUUGCAAUUAGUGGCAUACUGAUGAAUUCAUCAGUAGAACCCAAGACACUUUUGUGUCCCUGCCCGUGUUUUAUCUCCUCAAGGACGGUUGGCACGGCUGUGACACCCUUUAUCUGAGGUUAGGUGACCUUGGU